CGCCUGCUCCGCCGCGCAGCUCAAGGCUGCCUCCGGCGCCCGGGUAAAGGAAUUCCAUCCUGAUGUUUGCAAGGACACAGAGAAUGCAGAUUUAGUAAUGAGACGAGUACUCGAGGCCUAGGCCUAUGAGGUAACUGUGCUCAGAUGCUCGUAAGAUGCCUGCAUUCCAUGGAAGUUAAUUUGACUGCUGCCAUAACAAUUACAUUUAUAGUAAUAAUCAAAUUGAACCAACCGAGCUAAUUUGGUCUUAAGGCUCCCUGAAAAUGCCACUUCUGAAUUUGGUGGUGUGCACUGUUUGUUUAUAAUCCUUAGUUUGUGUUCUUGCAAUUCAAAUGUUCCUAUACAUGUUUAUAUAUGGCUCUGAUGUACUUUGUAAACAAUGCCACAUAGUACGUAUUAUAUUUUUCUAAAAAAAGAUUUUAUCCUUGAAAGAACUCAAUGAUGUAGAGGAGGGGCAUAUAGGUACAAACAAAACAAGAAUAUAUGGAGAGGUGCAUGUAUUCAGCUCUUUUCGUUCCAUUAUUUUAAACCUUCUGCAUCUGAAAUCAAAGUCAUGUUGAAUCAUGUUGCUAGCAAAUAACUGCAUUAUCCUUUUUGGUAAUUAUUGCUCUUUACAAACCGCAAUUAGUUACGCUGCUCAUUUGACACAGAUAUUAUCCGGUAACCAAGGAAUGAUGGUCGAAAGGUAGCAAAUACUUCCAUCUGCUUGUACUUCACAUAAGAGUGAAUUACUGUUUGGACCAGUUAUUGUGCACCAGUUGCAGUUUGCGCCAUGUAUAUUCAAAUCAUGCUUACAUCA